rnacentral:rRNA from 1 species
CUACGUGCCAGCAGCCGCGGUAAUACGGAAGGUCCAGGCGUUAUCCGGAUUUAUUGGGUUUAAAGGGAGCGUAGGCUGGAGAUUAAGUGUGUUGUGAAAUGUAGACGCUCAACGUCUGAAUUGCAGCGCAUACUGGUUUCCUUGAGUACGCACAACGUUGGCGGAAUUCGUCGUGUAGCGGUGAAAUGCUUAGAUAUGACGAAGAACUCCGAUUGCGAAGGCAGCUGACGGGAGCGCAACUGACGCUUAAGCUCGAAGGUGCGGGUGUCAAACAGGAUUAGAUACCCUGGUAGUCCGCACAGUAAACGAUGGAUGCCCGCUGUUGGUACCUGGUAUCAGCGGCUAAGCGAAAGCAUUAAGCAUCCCACCUGGGGAGUACGCCGGCAACGGUGAAACUCAAAGGAAUUGACGGGGGCCCGCACAAGCGGAGGAACAUGUGGUUUAAUUCGAUGAUACGCGAGGAACCUUACCCGGGCUUGAAUUGCAGAGGAAGGAUUUAGAGAUA